GAUGAACGCUGGCGGCGUGCUUAACACAUGCAAGUCGAACGGUGAAGCAGAGCUUGCUCUGUGGAUCAGUGGCGAACGGGUGAGUAACACGUGAGCAACCUGCCCCUGACUCUGGGAUAAGCGCUGGAAACGGCGUCUAAUACUGGAUAUGAGCUGCGACCGCAUGGUCAGCAGUUGGAAAGAUUUUUCGGUCUGGGAUGGGCUCACGGCCUAUCAGCUUGUUGGUGAGGUAAUGGCUCACCAAGGCGUCGACGGGUAGCCGGCCUGAGAGGGUGACCGGCCACACUGGGACUGAGACACGGCCCAGACUCCUACGGGAGGCAGCAGUGGGGAAUAUUGCACAAUGGGCGAAAGCCUGAUGCAGCAACGCCGCGUGAGGGAUGACGGCCUUCGGGUUGUAAACCUCUUUUAGCAGGGAAGAAGCGAAAGUGACGGUACCUGUAGAAAAAGCGCCGGCUAACUACGUG
rnacentral:rRNA from 1 species